rnacentral:rRNA from 1 species
CUACGGGUGGCUCCAGUGGGGAAUAUUGCACAAUGGAGGAAACUCUGAUGCAGCAACGCCGCGUGGAGGAUGACACUUUUGGAGCGUAAACUCCUUUUAUAUAGGAAGAAGAUGACGGUACUAUAUGAAUAAGCGCCGGCUAACUCCGUGCCAGCAGCCGCGGUAAUACGGAGGGCGCAAGCGUUACUCGGAAUCACUGGGCGUAAAGAGCGUGUAGGCGGAUUAAAAAGUCAGAAGUGAAAUCCUAUAGCUUAACUAUAGAACUGCUUCUGAAACUCUUAAUCUAGAAUAUGGGAGAGGUAGAUGGAAUUUCUGGUGUAGGGGUAAAAUCCGUAGAGAUCAGAAGGAAUACCGAUUGCGAAGGCGAUCUACUAGAACAUUAUUGACGCUGAGACGCGAAAGCGUGGGGAGCAAACAGGAUUAGAUACCCCGGUAGUC